GGGGUUGUAGCUCAGUGGUAGAGUGCUUGACUAGAACAUGAGAGGCACUGGGUUCAACCCUCAGCACCACUU
rnacentral:tRNA from 1 species